rnacentral:rRNA from 1 species
UACGUAGGGUGCAAGCGUUGUCCGGAUUUAUUGGGUUUAAAGGGUGCGUAGGUGGCUUUUUAAGUCAUGGGUGAAAGCCCGCAGCUCAACUGUGGAAUUGCCUGUGAUACUGAGGAGCUUGAAUGCGGUUGAGGCGGCUGGAAUUGGUGGUGUAGCGGUGAAAUGCAUAGAUACCACCAGGAACACCGAUUGCGAAGGCAGGUUGCUAAGCCGUAACUGACACUGAGGCACGAAAGCGUGGGGAGCAGACAGG